rnacentral:rRNA from 1 species
AUUGAACGCUGGCGGCAUGCUUUACACAUGCAAGUCGAACGGCAGCGCGGGCUUCGGCCUGGCGGCGAGUGGCGAACGGGUGAGUAAUGCAUCGGAACGUGCCCAGUAGUGGGGGAUAGCCCGGCGAAAGCCGGAUUAAUACCGCAUACGACCUGAGGGUGAAAGCGGGGGACCGAAAGGCCUCGCGCUAUUGGAGCGGCCGAUGUCGGAUUAGCUAGUUGGUGGGGUAAAGGCUUACCAAGGCGACGAUCCGUAGCUGGUCUGAGAGGACGACCAGCCACACUGGGACUGAGACACGGCCCAGACUCCUACGGGAGGCCGCAGUGGGGAAUUUUGGACAAUGGGGGCAACCCUGAUCCAGCCAUGCCGCGUGCGGGAAGAAGGCCUUCGGGUUGUAAACCGCUUUUGUUCGGGAAGAAAUCCUCUGGGCUAAUACCCCGGGGGGAUGACGGUACCGGAAGAAUAAGCACCGGCUAACUACGUG